UGGGGAAUAUUGCGCAAUGGGGGAAACCCUGACGCAGCGACGCCGUGUGAGGGAAGAAGGCUUUCGGGUCGUAAACCUCUGUCAGAAAGGAAGAACCUCCCAAGUCCGAAUAGGGCUUGGGACUGACGUACUUCAA
rnacentral:rRNA from 1 species